CGAAAACGACCCGAAAUCAUUCCGUGUACCUAUUUACCCGAACCGAACACGAAACGAAAUAAUUCGUGUAAACACGAAACGAAACGAAAUGUACACGAAAUUAAUUUCGUGUACUUUCGUGUAUUACCUGUUAUACGAAUUGACCCGAAAUAAUUAUACCCAUAGACACGAAAUAUACAUGCCUUUUGAUGCUUCAACAAAUUUCCAGUUCCAUUCUUUGAAUCAUAGAUACAUAUGUAACCACACUUCGUGCAUACUGCCCUGGAUACCUUAUCAGCUCCGAUUACAAGAUUAAAUGUUUUCCACACCUUUGAUCUCUUUCUCUUUGUACCAGGUGCUAUUAAGAUCUUCUUCGAAGAACCUUCAGUUGGUAGUUCUGUAGCCGGAUGUUCAGGAGUAGCAUUCUCUAAUAUAUCUGCUUCAUCAUC
rnacentral:lncRNA from 1 species